UAGCUUGGUGGUUAUAGCAUGAGUGAAACACGAUCCCAUCCC
rnacentral:rRNA from 1 species